rnacentral:rRNA from 1 species
AACGAACGCUGGCGGCAUGCCUAACACAUGCAAGUCGAACGAAGCCUUCGGGCUUAGUGGCGCACGGGUGCGUAACACGUGGGAAUCUGCCCUUAGGUACGGAAUAACUCAGGGAAACUUGAGCUAAUACCGUAUGAUGUCUUCGGACCAAAGAUUUAUCGCCUAAGGAUGAGCCCGCGUCGGAUUAGCUAGUUGGUGGGGUAAAGGCCUACCAAGGCGACGAUCCGUAGCUGGUCUGAGAGGAUGAUCAGCCACACUGGGACUGAGACACGGACCAGACUCCUACGGGAGGCAGCAGUGGGGAAUAUUGGACAAUGGGCGAAAGCCUGAUCCAGCAAUGCCGCGUGGGUGAAGAAGGCCUUCGGGUUGUAAAGCUCUUUUACCCGGGAAGAUAAUGACUGUACCGGGAGAAUAAGCCCCGGCUAACUCCGUGCCAGCCGCCGCUGUAA